UACGAAGGGGGCUAGCGUUGCUCGGAAUCACUGGGCGUAAAGCGCACGUAGGCGGCUUUUUAAGUCAGGGGUGAAAUCCUGGAGCUCAACUCCAGAACUGCCUUGGAUACUGGGAAGCUCGAGUCCGGGAGAGGUGAGUGGAACUCCGAGUGUAGAGGUGAAAUUCGUAGAUAUUCGCAAGAACACCAGUGGCGAAGGCGGCUCACUGGCCCGAUACUGACGCUGAGGCACGAAAGCGUGGGGAGCAAACAGG
rnacentral:rRNA from 1 species